rnacentral:rRNA from 1 species
CCUGGGAGUNCGNUCGCAAGAUUAAACUCAAAGGAAUUGACGGGGACCCGCACAAGCGGUGGAUGAUGUGGAUUAAUUCGAUGCAACGCGAAAAACCUUACGUACCCUUGACAUGGAUGGAAUCCUGAAGAGAUUUAGGAGUGCUCGCAAGAGAACCAUUACACAGGUGCUGCAUGGCUGUCGUCAGCUCGUGUCGUGAGAUGUUGGGUUAAGUCCCGCAACGAGCGCAACCCUUGUCAUUAGUUGCUACAUUAAGUUGAGCACUCUAAUGAGACUGCCGGUGACAAACCGGAGGAAGGUGGGGAUGACGUCAAGUCCUCAUGGCCCUUAUGGGUAGGGCUUCACACGUCAUACAAUGGUACAUACAGAGGGCCGCCAACCCGCGAGGGGGAGCUAAUCCCAGAAAGUGUAUCGUAGUCCGGAUUGUAGUCUGCAACUCGACUACAUGAAGUUGGAAUCGCUAGUAAUCGCGGAUCAGCAUGUCGCGGUGAAUACGUUCCCGGGUCUUGUACACACCGCCCGUCACACCAUGGGAGCGGGUUUCGCCAGAAGUAGGUAGCUUAACCGUAAGGAGGGCGCUUACCACGGCGGGAUUCGUGACUGGGGUGAAGUCGUAACAAGGUAGCCGUA